UAUCUACACUGUUAAAAAUUACCAGCAUUUCACAAUAAUUAACAGUAUUAUUUCACAGUAACUUGUUGUGAUUACAUUUCCCUGUAAUAUCCCAAUGAAUACCUGUAAAAACUACAAUAUCCUUGGAUUUUACAGCAUUUAACUCUUAUUUUACAAUAAAACAUUGCAAUUUAAAACCUGCUGUUAUGUCACAGCAAGGUCUGUAAUAUCACAGCAACACAGUGAAAAAAAAUAAGGAUUUCACAGCAGCAAACAGUAUUAUUGCAGUGAAAUACUGUAGCCUAUGCCCUGGGAAGUCAUGUGACAUAACCGAACUGUUGCAGGCUCCGUCGUCUCCCGCCGCCUCUUCUAUUUCGGGCUUAACGGAGAAGGUGCUUCCUGGGCAUCAAUCCCGAAAAAGGAUCGAAGACCAAGAAGAGGACCACAAUGAACCCUCAUAUUAGCACCCUAUUGAGGAAACUAAUUGACUUUGAGUGGGCGUCAUAGUGUUUUUUAGCAGUGGUAACGUUACUUGUCAGGCUCCACAGUUAAAAGUUUGCACAAUGUCUCUGCAUUUUCUGCAUUUUAAAAUGGCUUUUAUGAAAACAAUCUUAAAGUUGAAAUUCUAAAAAAAAUUAAUUUCUUAAAUUCUUGCUGUACAUUGAAACAUAUGUGUUAAUAAAUAUGCCAUUGGGCUAACAUUGA